rnacentral:rRNA from 1 species
GAUGAACGCUGGCGGCGUGCCUAAUACAUGCAAGUCGAGCGAAUGGAUUAAGAGCUUGCUCUUAUGAAGUUAGCGGCGGACGGGUGAGUAACACGUGGGUAACCUGCCCAUAAGACUGGGAUAACUCCGGGAAACCGGGGCUAAUACCGGAUAAUAUUUUGAACUGCAUGGUUCAAAAUUGAAAGGCGGCUUCGGCUGUCACUUAUGGAUGGACCCGCGUCGCAUUAGCUAGUUGGUGAGGUAACGGCUCACCAAGGCAACGAUGCGUAGCCGACCUGAGAGGGUGGACGGCCACACUUGGACUGAGACACGGCCCAGACUCCUACGGGAGGCAGCAGGAGGGAAUCGUCCGCAAUUGACGUAAGUCUGACGGAGCAACGCCGCGUGGGUGAUGAAGGCUUUCGGGUCGUAAAACUCUGUUGUUAGGGAAGAACAAGUGCUAGUUGAAUAAGCUGGCACCUUGACGGUACCUAACCAGAAAGCCACGGCUAACUACGUGCCAGCCGCCGCCGUAA